ACUUGGGCUGGUGUCGGUGUAGGUAAAACUUGAGUGGUUGUAGCUUGACUUGGAGCUUGUGACAUCUUGCUUAUUGGCAUGGUCAUAUCAUCCUCCCCCUCUUGAAAAGGAGUCGUCCUCGACUCUAACUCUUCUGAUCGAAAGAGUUGUGCUAGGCCAUCAGUUUGUAAUGUUGUGAUAACAUCGCAAUCUUCUUGUUCCAUGAUAGUAAGGUGUUUGAAUCUAUAGUCAUAUAAACCAAGUAGUAGCCUUGUAUGUGGAAACCUAAAUGAUUUGGAAUUAAGUUUAGCUUUCACCUUGAGUGGAUGCUUGAAUGUUGAUUGCCUUAGUAUGGUCUCAUCAUCCUCACUCCCUUCAAGAAAAGUCGUCCACGACUUUUGUUUACCUGAAAACAGCUUAGACAAAAUAGAGGGUGGAUGUACUUGAUAAUUCCAAUAAUCAUUUCUUUUGUUCUGUUCAUUUGUGCCAUUAUGAAUUAUUUUUGCAUUAUUUCCUUUUCCAUGUAAGAAACAUUCUCUCAACUUUGGUGAACCUACAAACAGUUUAGAGGAUGGUAGCACAAAAAUUUCUUCCAAUCCAAUCAUUUGAUUCAUGUUGUCAUGUUUUAUCUUUAGAAGAUCAAACUUUUCAUCAAAUGGAUGUUGAGAACUAAUGUUAUUCCAAAAAUUAUUGUGGCAGCAAAAAUUAUUGAAGGGUUUAGAAGUAUAAUUUUUAAACUCAAUGCUCCAAGGUGUGGAUGAACAACUUUUCGGUGUAUAGGCUUUGCUUUGCACAAGAUUUCUAUCUUUAAGUGGAUGGUACGAACAUGCUGACAACACGAAUUGAUCGAAACCAUAAGCACCAAGCAUUUGUUGCAUCUUAAAAGAUUUCUCAUUUUGUUUAUCUCUCAACAUUUUUGAGUCUAAAUCAGCAAACUUGUUAUAUGUUACACAAAUUGCAUGAACUUGGAAGGUAUCUACAACAUGUUCUCCAAUCAAGACAAAUGUAAACUGGAAGCUAUGAGUAGUAUUCAUUGAACUCAAAGAUGUUAUGUUAGAAAUUUUCUCAAGCAUUUGUUCAAUAUUGAUAGGCAUGUUAAGCAUAGAAUAACACAAACAUUCAAGAGGAGAUAUCCUUGUAAACAAAUCAGCACAAGUAACCGACUGGAUGAGGUGUUGUUUGUUGUUAUAUGAAGUGUUGCAAGGAUCAUUCAAAGCACAAAGACUCUCAUCAAAAAGAAAUUCAGCACUUGUAUCAACAUGAGUUCCAGUCAAAUCAGCACAAAUGUUUUGGUUAUGUUUUAUUGCUGAAACAGUGAUAUCACAAGUACUCAACAUGCGUUGAACAAUCAGAUUUGAUUUAUUUUUCAUGUAUUUUAAAUCCAAUGAUUCUACGUGUACCAAGGUUUGAAUCUCUGAAUAUUUACCUUCAUUGUUAAUCUUAGAUGGUUUUGAUGAAUUAACUAAAGGGUUGAGAAAUGUGCAGCCAUCUCUAAGAUGUAUGAGCAUUGAAACAUAAUGCAUCGUAUCACACAUGUGAAUGCAAAUCAUCAUGUACAUGAACCAUAUCAAACCAUAGAAAAGAUCAUGUAUGAUUGAACUUUGGUUAUCAACUUGUAAAAUUUCAACACACGGGUGAAUAUGUGAAAUAAUCAAAUCAGUGCAAAUAUUUCGUGUAUGGUUAAUCCCAUUUAAACCAUGUGUAUUAUCAUAAUUACAUGCCAUUUUAUUUUGCAAACUCAAAUCUGAUUUAUUUUCAAUAACUUUUAGAAUUUUUGGUGGUUCAAGCACCAAUGAUUGCACCUCUGAAAUCUUACCGUUAUCCAUGUCAUGGUUCAGAUUUUGGGCAACACACAAUGGGUUUAGUUGAAUGGCUACCCUCUGAUUUCUCUCAACAAGUAUGGUGUUGUCUUGAGCAUCCAUCUCUUCCCUAUUCUCAUCACCAACCUGCACAUUUGGAAAGACAAAACUAGAAGUAGAGAUGAAAGUGUUAGUUUCAAAGAUAUCCUCACUUGGCCUGCAUUCUAAAUAUCUAGUUUUUUGUGGUGUAUCCCUCACACUCUCAUUGUUGACACUCUCAACCUUAUAGUGGGUGGAAUCACUUGACUCUCCUUUGUCUUCACUCUCUCUCAUUUUGGCAAUGUGGCUCUCAUUCUCACAUAGGUUUUGAUGCACAAUUACUUCAACGUCUUCUGGAGCCACAUAUGCAUGUGUAUCGUUGUCAUUGACAAUCACUUGUUCUUCCUCAUCGAAGAUUGGGGGCUGAUCAUAAUUCACAACAUCAUUUUCUUCAUGAACCUGCAUCGCAAAAGGAACAAGAAUAGAAGGUAUUAUGAUGUUAGAAGUAAAUAAUUCCUCACAUGAUUCAUAUCUUUUUUCUCUCAAUUUUUGUGGAUCACUCUCACAUAGAGUUUUGUGGCUCUCCUCAAAUAUUGUGGAAUCUCUCAUCUUCUUAUUUAGAACUCUCUCACUGAAUUUUGGUUGGUGCCACUCUUUCUCACGUAUGGUGGAAUGUCUCAUCUUUUACUUUUGAUUUCUCUCACUCAAUUUUGGUUGGUGGCACUCUUGCUGAAUUUUUCUUUUGGGGGACACACAGUAAUCUUCAUCAUCAAUGAGCACACGGGGGCGAAUGCUAUGCCCAUGAGCACCUCCUCCAUGUUGUCCACUGUGGCCAUAAAGACCACGGCGAGAGUUGGUUGAGCUAUGUUGUUUAGCCCGACCGUGCACCACAGGAAGACGUUCAUCAAACAUCUUCUCCAUAGCCUCCACAAGUGAGUUUUGUAGUUGGCGUAACUCAGCCCGCGAAACUGGUGUUUCUUUUUCUCCAUAUCGACCACCACGAACGCUCAAAUUGGAUCCUGGCAUGUUAGCACUUAUGCAAGAUAUAGUGGAAUAGUUAAUUUGUGGAAUCACACAAUCUCACCUCUUACUUACCAAUGCUCUUUCCUAUUCUCAAGGACAGUGAAUUGUGCUAGUGUAGCAGCUCAACAGAAGUGAUUCCGAGGUCGCAAGGAUUACGAAUCGAAUGUCCUGGUUUCAGUUUUUGGUGGAGCUAUAGGUGGCUAAACAAGGGAGGCUACGGUACUGAAAAUCAAGUGUUUAGAUGUGCUCACAAGAUAUAGUGUUGCUGGUAUAUAAAUCACCAAGAAUCUGAAUGUGUGAACUGAAUUUUCAGUGAGCAAACCGCAAUACAACCCCUUUCCUCUUCUUCUACUUUUCUUGUUCUUUCUCUUUUCUUUUCUCUGUUUUUUUUUACUUUUUUUUACUCUUUUUUUUCUAACAGGGGUGCGGAUAACAAAUGAAACUCAACACAAUAUAUAUAAAGAGGGUGACUAGCAACUUGAUGAACACAAAACACAAGAUAACAGUACCGUCAAAGGGCUCUAGGAUUAUUUUUUGGCUUUUUUAGUGGACUAUAGGUGAUGAACAAAAUAGUAGCAAAUGAUAGAUAAACUAAAGGCAGAUAUGUGGAUGAUUGUGAGACCUACCGUGACAACGAAAGCUUUGAUACCAGUUGAUAGGUUACCGAUAUGAAACGGCACGAGGGUGGCCCGAUCUUCACGACAGUAGAUCAAAAGAACAAGGAUAACUUGCUGCGAACAGCGGGUAACUAGCUUUAUACCUGACAAAGGUUGGAUGCGACCAAGCGACGGGGAGAGAGGCACCGAAACCACGAAGACUUUGACUCGAUCUCCGAACGACCGCAGAACCACAAUCCGGAACUAAUCCACACAAUACGGCGCAGCCGAGCGGAAGCCGUAGAGCACGAAGUAGGGGAACCCAGAGGAUUCACUUCACAAGUCCAAGAAGAACAAGGAAGAACAAAGGUUGAGUAAGGCACUCAGCAGCGCGGCUGCAAUAUCAUGUAGUUUAUCAAAUGAUCAAAGGUUGCUAAUAGCUUAGAGGUAGGGGAUAUUUAUACUAGGAACAACCCUCCUAGAUAGGUAUGAAAACAAAAUAGAGUUUCUAAGGGAAGGCAAUGUGAAAAGUCCCCUCGGAAUGGAUUCCCGAACUGGCUUCGCGUGACUGUUGGCCUCCAGAGCAGUUUCCAAUAAACUGACCAUAACUUUUUAUUGGGAAGUCCAAAUGACGAACCGUUUCUUGGGUGUGAAACUAGACUCAAAGAGCUUUCCAGCAACGUAUGCCAUGUACCUAGAAACGUUGUAGAUUGGUACAGGUUUGCACGGCAAGUUGUACCAACAUUCUGUCAUGGCAGACUGUUGACCUUCUGAGCAGUCUGUACUAAUUCUGGUCUGCAGGCAAUAUGGAGUAUCAAAACUGGUCGCCAUUAGAUUCAUUGUAAAGUAGACUCGACAAUCUUUCCAACAAGUCCUCAUGGCCAUUCAUAGCUUUUGUGAUUAAAAAGUUAUGAAUAAUUCUUUGCACUGGUCCGUUUUUUACUUCCACUGGUCCGUUUUUGACGUGUCUUCUAGGACUUGCACUGGUUCGUUCUUCAGGGUCCGAUUCAUCCUUCUCUUCUACUAUAUACCUGAGUACAAUCAAGGUAGAACACUGAGGUAGUAUAUAAUUCUCAUUAAUGUUAAAAUGAAUCUCACAAAGUAGUGCGUGGACCUCUUGUUGUAGCUUCUUUGCACGACUACGUGUAACCGGUCCAUCGAUGACUUGGGCUGGUGUCGGUGUAGGUAAAACUUGAGUGGUUGUAGCUUGACUUAAGCUUGUGACAUCUUGCUUAUUGGCAUGGUCAUAUCAUGAUCUCAUUUGAUGUUUGGUUGAGGGAUGGAAUGAUUCUGUUUUUUGUUUGGUUCUCGGACAACAAAAGUGAGAUUGACUAUUGACAUGUAGAGCUCACAUUCGUUAGAUUUUUUUUAUUUUUAUUUUUAUUUUUCGUUUUUCUUUUUUCUUCUACCUUAUCCUUUCUCCUUUUGUGGGACAUCUCCUUCCAUGGAUGUCAUCGUGGCCUCUACUGCCUGCGCUCGUGACACUAUGGUCAGGCUCACCUAAAGAUGGCGGGGCGGAUAUCCGUGGGUUUCAGUUCCUCAGGUUUCGGUUUUGGUGUCUGUUUUUCGCCCACGGUUUUGCGGGUUCGGAUACCCGAAAUACCACGGUUUUGGGGCGGAUACUAAUUUUCACCCAUGGUGCUCCAUCGGGGCCCCGAAAAAUGUAGCCCACUAAAAGUCCAGCAACCAACCGUAAGUAUAUAAGCCUCAUUGCCUCACUCCCUCAGCCUCAACUUGUCUUCUCCUGC
rnacentral:lncRNA from 1 species